rnacentral:rRNA from 1 species
UCCAAACGUUAUUCGGAAUUAUUGGGCUUAAAGGGUGCGUAGGCUGUGCAGUAAGUUGGGUGUGAAAUCCCUCGGCUCAACCGAGGAACUGCGCCGAAUACUGCUGUGCUAGAGGAAGAUAGGGGUAAGCGGAACUGAUGGUGGAGCGGUGAAAUGCGUAGAUAUCGAGAGGAACACCAGAGGUGAAGACGGGUUGCUGGGCCGACACUGACGCUGACAGCGCGAAAGCCAGGGGAGCAAACGGG